rnacentral:tRNA from 1 species
GAGAAAGUGUCAAGAACUGCUAAUUCCUGAACCCAUAACUAAACUUAUGGCUUUCU